rnacentral:rRNA from 1 species
UACAGAGGUGGCAAGCGUUGUUCGGAAUUACUGGGCGUAAAGGGCGCGUAGGCGGUCUUUUAAGUCUUGUGUGAAAUCCCUCGGCUCAACUGAGGAACUGCACGGGAUACUGGAAGACUUGAGUUCGGGAGAGGGAAGCGGAAUUCCGGGUGUAGCGGUGAAAUGCGUAGAUAUCUGGAGGAACACCGGUGGCGAAGGCGGCGUUCUGGACUGCAACUGACACUGAAAAACGAAAGCCAGGGGAGCAAACGGG